CGUCAAAGUGGUGGUGAUUUG
rnacentral:miRNA from 1 species